rnacentral:lncRNA from 1 species
CCACACAGUGGCUCUCAACCACCUGUCACUCCAGCUCCAGGGGACCCAACGCCCUCUUCUGACCUCCGCAGCUAAUCCAAGCCCUCCGUCAGAACAAAGACAGAGAAACAAGACAUCUGCGCCUUUGCCUGGAACCCACAACUGCAUUCAGAACAGGAGGCAAUGGACUAUCCUUCCAAAUGCCAAAGGAUUACCCGGCAACCACAUGGGGUGUAGACAAGUCUCUGUUGUGCAAGGCUGUCACAUGUACUUUGGGACAUAGUACGUCUAUGACGCUUGCCCACUAGAUGCCAAUCCAUGGUCCAGGAGAUCAUGUCGGGUGUAGUCCUCACCGUACCAAUGAUGAGUUCAUGGGUCUACACACGGGCUGCUGAUGACAACACAGUGUUCCAUGUGGCAUUAUCUCGUGUGACAGAGGAAGGUCUGCCGGGGGCUUCACAUGGAGGGAAGUCACAGGGAAGACGGCUUCUUCUGCAAGUUAUGCAUAGAUGCCCCUGAAAACUCCACCCACACCCCAGAACCAGCCCUAGGGCUCAACAACAGGAGGGCAGAGCCUAAAGCACAGAGGACCUAAGCUAAAGACCUCAGAGUGUGUGUGAGUGUGUGUGUGUGUGAGUGUGUGUGUGUGUGAGUGUGUGUGUGUGUAUCUGUGUAUGUGUGUGCACAUACACAUGUGUAUUCUGUGUAUGUGCACGUGUGUGAGUGGGGAUUUG